GUGGGGAAUUUUGGACAAUGGACGAAAGUCUGAACCAGCCAUUCCGCGCGCAGGAAGAAGAUUCUAUGGAUUGUAAACUGCUUUUAGCAGAGAAGAAACGCCUUCAUUGAUGAGGGUUUGACGGUAUCUGCGGAAUAAGCACCGGCUAACUCCGUGCCAGCAGCCGCGGUAAUACGGGGGGUGCAAGCGUUAUCCGGAAUCACUGGGUUUAAAGGGUGCGUAGGCGGGAAAUUAAGUCAGUGGUGAAAGUCUGUUGCUUAACGAUAGAAUUGCCGUUGAUACUGAUUUUCUUGAAUUGGGUUGAGGUUAGCGGAAUGUGACAUGUAGCGGUGAAAUGCAUAGAUAUGUCAUGGAACACCAAUUGCGAAGGCAGCUAGCUGGGCCUUGAUUGACGCUGAGGCACGAAAGCGUGGGUAGCGAACAGGAUUAGAUACCCCGGUAGUCC
rnacentral:rRNA from 1 species